AACGAACGCUGGCGGCAUGCCUAACACAUGCAAGUCGAACGAGACCUUCGGGUCUAGUGGCGCACGGGUGCGUAACGCGUGGGAAUCUGCCCUUGGGUUCGGAAUAACAGUGAGAAAUUACUGCUAAUACCGGAUGAUGACUUCGGUCCAAAGAUUUAUCGCCCAAGGAUGGGCCCGCGUAGGAUUAGGUAGUUGGUGGGGUAAUGGCCUACCAAGCCGACGAUCCUUAGCUGGUCUGAGAGGAUGAUCAGCCACACUGGGACUGAGACACGGCCCAGACUCCUACGGGAGGCAGCAGUGGGGGAAUAUUGGACAAUGGGCGAAAGCCUGAUCCAGCAAUGCCGCGUGAGUGAUGAAGGCCUUAGGGUUGUAAAGCUCUUUUACCAGGGAUGAUAAUGACAGUACCUGGAGAAUAAGCUCCGGCUAACUCCGUG
rnacentral:rRNA from 1 species